UACGUAGGCAGCGAGCGUUGUUCGGAGUUACUGGGCGUAAAGAGUGCGUAGGCGGUGGCCCAAGUCUGGUGUGAAAUCUCCCGGCUCAACCGGGAGGGUGCGCCGGAAACUGGGUUGCUUGAGUGCUGGAGAGGCAAGCGAAUUCCGUGGUGUAGCGGUGAAAUGCGUAGAUAUCAGGAGGAACACCCGUGGUGUAGACGGCUUGCUGGACAGUCACUGACGCUGAGGCACGAAAGCGUGGGGAGCAAACAGG
rnacentral:rRNA from 1 species